AAACAUUCCAGUUAUCAAUAAAGAGUAAAUUCUGAGUCUGACACCAUGACUGAAGCCAUUCAUUUAAAGCAAAAAGUCUACUGAACCUUUCAAUUCCUCGCUGGUAUGUUGGAAGCGGUCCAGACACAAUGAUCCUUGCUGUGGGCGCUGUGGUGCGAACCGUCUCCACCAGGGUGUUGAAGUCCCUCUUCAGGAUCUCCGACUGCCUCAGGCUGGUGUUGUUCGAGCCAGCAUGAAGAACCACAGCUCCGGUGUUUCUGCUCACGACCAUAGGUACCUGUGCAGCGACAUCAAGAACACGAGCACCAGGUAAGCAGUGGGUCCGAGCCUUACCUUUCGACACAGUAGCGCGGACGUGGCGGAGUCUCCGAUGAUCACGGUCCGUCUCGCGAAGGGGGGCGAAGCGGUUCCGAGUUGGGAUCUCGAAGACCGGCGGUGGUGGAGGUGGAGAGGUCCUCAAUCGGGGCCCGGCGCAUGUCCUCCGCUGCUGCACCCAGGAUCCGCGGUGCCCCGGCACGGGAGUGAACAGUUCCUGGCCAUGCCAUUUCCUGAGUGCGUUGAGCCUGGAUAGAGAAACACACGGAGUAGAGGUGGAGGGAGUGAUAAUUACAUCCCGGGAGUUUAACUGAGACAGUUGAGCGACCGGCCGGGGAGCUUCCAGCACGGCUUUCUGCUCCCGCAGCUCGGCCUGCUUCACCUGUAGGUCGCGGAUCUGCUUCUCCACGGCCUCCAGGAGAGGCUCCAGCUCCAGUUCCACCGAGUGCAGCUCGAACGUGUCCUCACCUGCACUCAAGGGCAGAGACGUAACCGACAUGAUGUUAUAGAGCAAGAACAACAGAGAUAAUCGGUGUGAGAAGGUAUACUAGCAGUAGCCGGGUUAACAGGCCAGUUAGGCGUGAUGCUAACCAGCAAAUAAAUGCGACACUCAAACAAUCCAAACACCACGCUAACAGGCUAGUGGUGCUAACCAGCUGGCCGCUGGGAAAACAAAUAAAUAAGGUAUUUUGAGUGGUUAUUCUACUUUUAAGAUUCUAUUGCCGGGAUAAAUAGCAACUCAGGAUAACUCGGGAUAGAUUGAGAUUGAAUGAAGAUACUCAGCCAAGCAAACAAAUGCAACGCGGCAACUAAUUCAAACACUGCAUUUAUAUGACGCUACAAUCUAACCGCAACACAACCAUACAUGCUACACGGAGGCUGCUGCUACACGGAAAUGAUGUUACAGAGCAAGUACAACAGAUUGUCCUAGCGGUAGCCGAGCUAACAGGCUAGCUGCGCUAGCCGGCUAGAAGCGGACUAUUUAACCUAUUUAUUUAUUGUCUAUCAUUUGCUUCUAAAAGAUGUGAAUGGACGUGGAGGAGAGCAGAGUGGGAGCGAGCCACUGGACUGAGCAGGUCAACUCCCUGCCUCUCACUCCAGUCUAUACUGAAAAUGUGGAAGAUGUGAGAGCUUGUACUAGUGGUAGCCGAGCUAACAGGCUAGUUAUGCUAGUUGGCUAGAAGCGGACGCUGCGAGUCAAGUAAAUACGAUGUCAAGAAUUAAGAUGUAUUGUCCCCAAGAUUGUCUGUCUGUAGUGCCUGGUCUGUCAAACUUGG